rnacentral:rRNA from 1 species
AUUGAACGCUGGCGGCAUGCCUUGCACAUGCAAGUCGAACGGUAACGGGCCUUCGGGUGCCGACGAGUGGCGAACGGGUGAGUAAUACAUCGGAACGUGCCCGAUCGUGGGGGAUAACGAGGCGAAAGCUUUGCUAAUACCCCAUACGAUCUACGGAUGAAAGCAGGGGACCGCAAGGCCUUGCGCGGACGGAGCGGCCGAUGGCAGAUUAGGUAGUUGGUGGGAUAAAAGCUUACCAAGCCGACGAUCUGUAGCUGGUCUGAGAGGAUGAUCAGCCACACUGGGACUGAGACACGGCCCAGACUCCUACGGGAGGCAGCAGUGGGGAAUUUUGGACAAUGGGCGCAAGCCUGAUCCAGCCAUGCCGCGUGCAGGAUGAAGGCCUUCGGGUUGUAAACUGCUUUUGUACGGAACGAAAAGCCUUCUUUUAAUACAGGAGGGUCAUGACGGUACCGGAAGAAUAAGCACCGGCUAACUACGUG